GAACGGUUGGCUCAGUUGUUAAGAGCGCUCGGACCCCGCCCGAGAGGUCGCGGGUUCGAGUCCCGCAUCGUUCA